GAUGAACGCUAGCGGCAGGCCUAAUACAUGCAAGCCAAGGGCUGUUUGGUGUAGCACUACCUCAAACAACCGGCGGACGGGUGCGUAACGCGUAUGCAACCUACCCUAUACAGGAGGAUAGCCCUCGGAAACGAGGAUUAAUACUCCAUAAGAUUGCUUAGAGGCAUCUUUAAGCAAUUAAAGCCGCAAGGCGGUAUAGGAUGGGCGUGCGUCCGAUUAGCUAGUUGGUGAGGUAACGGCUCACCAAGGCGAUGAUCGGUAGGGGUUCUGAGAGGAAGAUCCCCCACACGGGCACUGAGACACGGGCCCGACUCCUACGGGAGGCAGCAGUAAGGAAUAUAGGACGAUGGGUGAAAGCCUGAUCCAGCCAUGCCGCGUGCAGGAAGAAGGCCCUAUGGGUAGUAAACUGCUUUUGAGAGGGAGAAAUAAGGGCGAGGCGUCGCUCGAUGAUAGUACUUCACGAAUAAGCAUCGGCUAACUUCGUG
rnacentral:rRNA from 1 species